rnacentral:misc_RNA from 1 species
AACGGUCUAUACCUGCGGUACCUGCGGAGGGAUCAUUACAGGACUCGCAAGACUCCUACAACCCUGUGAACUUCACUAUAAGCACGUUGCUUCGGCGGGUGUCGCGGCGCGGGUCUUCCCGCACCGGGGCGCUAAGCCCGCCGGCAGCCUACUAUACUCUGUUUCUCUGCGUUGGCAUCUCGAGAAAAAACAAACAAGUUAAAACUUUCAACAACGGAUCUCUAGAUCGGAAGAGCACAC